rnacentral:rRNA from 1 species
AGUGAACGCUGGCGGUAGGCCUAACACAUGCAAGUCGAACGGCAGCACAGUAAGAGCUUGCUCUUACGGGUGGCGAGUGGCGGACGGGUGAGGAAUACAUCGGAAUCUACUUUUUCGUGGGGGAUAACGUAGGGAAACUUAGGCUAUUACCGCAUCGGACCUCGGGUGGAAGGCGGGGGAUUUUCGGCCCUGGCGGGUUGGAAGGAGCGGAGGUCGGAUUAGCUAGUGGGGGGGGUAAAGGCCAACCAAGGCGACGAUCCGUAGCUGGUCUGAUAGGAUGAUCAGCCACACUGGAACUGAGACACGGUCCAGACUCCUACGGGAGGCAGCAGUGGGGAAUAUUGGACAAUGGGCGCAAGCCUGAUCCAGCCAUACCGCGUGGGUGAAGAAGGCCUUCGGGUUGUAAAGCCCUUUUGUUGGGAAAGAAAAGCAGCAGGUUAAUACCCCGCUGUUCUGACGGUACCCAAAGAAUAAGCACCGGCUAACUUCGUG